rnacentral:lncRNA from 1 species
AAUUCCCUUUUUAAAAGAUACUGGCUAUCUCCAUUGCUCCAAUGCAGUGGCUUAUCUUAGGGACAUGUUGCAUAUUUUAUUUACAAGACCAGCAAUUUUAAAGAGCUGUCGGGUCACUAUCAUCUGUACCUGGUGAUUUGGAAGUGCUCAGUUUCUCUCGUGUCAUCACUCAUCUCAUUCUCUCUUCCUAGAAACAUCCAUGCAGGUAGGAGUUAUCCUGUAUUUUCAGUAGUGACGUGAUUUCUCCUCCUUUAGAGCUACUGUACUGUCAUUCCAUUACAGAAACUUUAAUUCCAUUGUCAUCGAACAAUCCAACUACCUUUCCAGCUGCUUUCCGAUUCUGUAUGCAAUUGUUCUUGAAGCCCAUUGUUCUUGUUUGCAAUACUGUCUGCAUACAGUGCCUUUGUUCCAAUUUGUGUUCCUUUACGUUUGACUCCUUUGUACGAGACUUUUAGUUUUUGACAUAAGCCUCCCUUCUGCACUUCAUUUGUUUCCUUCACGUUGCUUGUUAGCCAGGCUGGUGACCUCUUGGCCUUCAUACUACCUCUCCUGAUUUUGUAUGAACUCCAGCUGAACCUUUAUCAUUGUGGGUAUGAGUAGCCCUCAAGCAUCUUGGAGAGAGACUUGAUCCUUUUGGCUUCCUUUCAAUUUUCUUUCUACUAGCUCCCUUCUUGUUAGAAAAGCUUCCCCUUUUGAACUCAAAUAUGACUGUCUUGGACUUCCUAGGCACUUUCAGACUUGUGUAUAAAUUACUUUUGAUAGCAUUGUAAUCACUGGUUCCAAUUUUCAGCCACGCUCACAGAACUUUAGGAUUACUGGCAUUAGAAGAGGUGUGCCUGGGGAACCUUAAAGCCCGAGCACUCAUAUAUGUAUCAAUUCCUAACCAGCACCAGGGCUCCCUAUUGCACUAACACAACAUCAGCAUAUCACUAACAUUAUCAUAGAACUGCAGCACUGAAAGGGACCCUAUGGAUCACAAAGUCCAGCUCCUGCCAAGGAGGCACUGUAGAGGAUUGAACUCCCAACCUCUAGCUCCGCAGAGACUUAAGCCACUGAGCUAUUCAGCAGUUCCCUGGGACAUGUCUAACACAUUCCACAAAACAAUGGUGUGUUUACCCAAGCUAGGU